CAAAAAGUAGUUUAAUUUCAGAAUUCUAGCUUUGGGAGUUAGGGGUAGGAGUUAAAAUCUCCUCUUUUUG
rnacentral:tRNA from 1 species